CGGUUGUGAGGNGAACGGCCCCACAUUGGACUGAGACACGGCCCAAACUCCUACGGAAGGCAGCAG
rnacentral:rRNA from 1 species